AAAGUACAAGCUGCUGCCACAGUGCGUCUUGUAGAAAGUACAAGCUGCUGCCACAGUGCGUCUUGUAGAAAGUACAAGCUGCUACCACAGUGCGUCUUGUAGAAAGUACAAGCUGCUGCCACAGUGCGUCUUGUAGAAGAUACAAGCUGCUACCACAGUGCGUCUUG